AGCACUCCGGCAUAUAAGGAAUCUUGUGGGUGAACCACCAUAUGUUUGUGCGAUCAGCAAGAAUAGCAAGAGUGGUUUGCAUGAGCAUAAUACAACAUAUAUAGCUCGACGGCCAAUGACAAGAGACAUUGGCAAGCAAACAACAAGCUUCUCAGAAGACAAAAGAUGAGCAGAGCUUGCACAUGGCCUAAUGACCUAAGGAUAUCUUAUAUGAAAUUGCAGCAAAUGCAUGAUGGAUGUAAUUCUGCUGUGAGGCCAACAAGUUCUUUAUAACAUUGCUGUUGCAGAAUACUUUCGAGAUGGUUGUAUUGAUCUUAGGAAUCUCCUUGAUGUAUUAAAAGAGGUUAAAGUAAGUUUACUAAAUCACAUGUAAUUGAUUUUUUGGAUUAAUUUAUGAAGAAAUUUUCUUCAUGUAUUUUUUUUUCCUAUUUGCUUAACUUUUGGUUGGCCUGCUCUUUAUAGUUGAAGAGAAAUAAUUCCUUUGUCCAACUUUUCUUUAUUGCACAGCACAUGUAUGCAUCCUUUACGUUAUAGUUAAACUUUCAUCAUAAUUAAUACACAUCUAAUAGUGAGGGCGAGACAGUGUUAUUUAAUUGAUGUUACAGGUCUGGCAUGUACUAAGCAAUGAAGAGGAUGUUGAAAUAGUCCCAUCAUCCCCAACCCGGUCAUGAAAGGUCCUUGUUGAAGCUGCCACUCGAGAAUGGUUAUUCAUAAUUCUUUUGGUUUAGUGAGCCUUCGUUUUGCAACUAGCUCAUUCAUCAUAUGUGUAGGUGUGUAGUUGUUUUGUUACCCACGUUGUAUAUAUGUUUGUUAAGGUGAUCAUUUAAAAU